rnacentral:tRNA from 1 species
GGAAGGGUGGCCGAGUGGUUUAAGGCAAGAGUUUGCUAAACUCUGGCGCUGAUAAGGCGCCUCGUGGGUUCGAAUCCCACCCCUUCCG